AUCUGUAGAGAUACGGAGUCCCUUCGGGGACGCUAAGACAGGUGGUGCAUGGCUGUCGUCAGCUCGUGUCGUAGAGAUGUUGGGUUAAGUCCCGCAACGAGCGCAACCCUUGUUAUUAGUUGCCAGCAUUAAGUUGGGCACUCUAAUGAGACUGCCGGUGACAAACCGGAGGAAGGUGGGGAUGACGUCAAGUCAUCAUGCCCCUUAUGACCUGGGCUACACACGUGCUACAAUGGGCAGUACAACGAGAAGCAAGCCUGCGAAGGCAAGCGAAUCUCUGAAAGCUGUUCUCAGUUCGGACUGCAGUCUGCAACUCGACUGCACGAAGCUGGAAUCGCUAG
rnacentral:rRNA from 1 species